rnacentral:tRNA from 1 species
GAUGGUUUAACUCAGUGGUAGAGUGCCUGCUUAGCAUGCACGAGGCCCUGGGUUCAAUCCCCAGUACUGCCA